rnacentral:rRNA from 1 species
UGCCUGCCGGCGACCGGCGCACGGGUGAGUAACACGUAUGCAACCUGCCCCUGUCAGGGGGACAACCCGCCGAAAGGCGGGCUAAACCCGCGUACAUGCCACCGGGGCAUCCCGGAGGCAGGAAAGGCUUCGGCCGGACAGGGAUGGGCAUGCGGCGCAUUAGGCAGUAGGCGGGGUAACGGCCCACCUAACCGACGAUGCGUAGGGGUUCUGAGAGGAAGGUCCCCCACACUGGUACUGAGACACGGACCAGACUCCUACGGGAGGCAGCAG